GGCGGGUGCUAACGUCCGUCGUGAAGAGGGAAACAACCCAGACCGCCAGCUAAGGUCCCAAAGUCAUGGUUAAGUGGGAAACGAUGUGGGAAGGCCCAGACAGCCAGGAUGUUGGCUUAGAAGCAGCCAUCAUUUAAAGAAAGCGUAAUAGCUCACUGGUCGAGUCGGCCUGCGCGGAAGAUGUAACGGGGCUAAACCAUGCACCGAAGCUGCGGCAGCGACACUAUGUGUUGUUGGGUAGGGGAGCGUUCUGUAAGCCUGCGAAGGUGUGCUGUGAGGCAUGCUGGAGGUAUCAGAAGUGCGAAUGCUGACAUAAGUAACGAUAAAGCGGGUGAAAAGCCCGCUCGCCGGAAGACCAAGGGUUCCUGUCCAACGUUAAUCGGGGCAGGGUGAGUCGACCCCUAAGGCGAGGCCGAAAGGCGUAGUCGAUGGGAAACAGGUUAAUAUUCCUGUACUUGGUGUUACUGCGAAGGGGGGACGGAGAAGGCUAUGUUGGCCGGGCGACGGUUGUCCCGGUUUAAGCGUGUAGGCUGGUUUUCCAGGCAAAUCCGGAAAACCAAGGCUGAGGCGUGAUGACGAGGCACUACGGUGCUGAAGCGACAAAUGCCCUGCUUCCAGGAAAAGCCUCUAAGCAUCAGGUAACAUCAAAUCGUACCCCAAACCGACACAGGUGGUCAGGUAGAGAAUACCAAGGCGCUUGAGAGAACUCGGGUGAAGGAACUAGGCAAAAUGGUGCCGUAACUUCGGGAGAAGGCACGCUGAUAUGUAGGUGAAGCGACUUGCUCGUGGAGCUGAAAUCAGUCGAAGAUACCAGCUGGCUGCAACUGUUUAUUAAAAACACAGCACUGUGCAAACACGAAAGUGGACGUAUACGGUGUGACGCCUGCCCGGUGCCGGA
rnacentral:rRNA from 1 species